ACCUACCUAACUGGGUUAGGGCCCUGGCUCCAUCUCCUUUAGGAAAACCUUCUUUGGGGAGUGGGGCUUCGACCCUAACCCAGCUGGGCUGU
ensembl:miRNA MIR1296 microRNA 1296